rnacentral:rRNA from 1 species
CCUACGGGAGGCAGCAGUGGGGGAUAUUGCACAAUGGGGGGAACCCUGAUGCAGCGACGCCGCGUGGGUGAAGAAGCGCCUCGGCGCGUAAAGCCCUGUCAGCAGGGAAGAAAAUGACGGUACCUGAAGAAGAAGCCCCGGCUAACUACGUGCCAGCAGCCGCGGUAAUACGGAGGGGGCAAGCGUUAUCCGGAUUUACUGGGUGUAAAGGGGGCGUAGACGGCGUUGCAAGCCCGGAGGGAAAGCCCGGGGCCUAACCCCGGGACUGCUGUUGGAACUGCGGGGCUGGAGGGCAGGAGGGGCAGGCGGAAUUCGUGGUGUAGCGGGGAAAUGCGGAGAUAUGAGGAGGAA